CCCCUGCAUAAUCUAUAUGUGAUAUGUUUUUGUUUCACCUUAUAUUGCUACAGUUUGAAACUGAGAAAUUAGCCAAUACACAACAGAGACAUAUAUAUAUGUGUAUAUAUGUCUCUGUGUAUAUAUGUCUCUGCCUGAAAUUAAAACCGUUCGUGCUCUAUCUUUUUUACGUAUUUGUUUGGGUUUUUUUUUUUGUUACACGUGUUGUUGGGUUUUUUUUGUGAUGGUGGCGGGGUUUCGGGUUUUGGGUGUCGGAAUUCUGUUGUUUCUAUUGUUUUAGUUUGUCUUUUUCUGCAUGCCAUAAAUAUUUUAUCUCUUUCUCAAAAGUUAUUUCGCCAAAGUGAUUGCAUUACAGAACUAAGUAAACAAUUAAACAGAAAAAAACAAGUGAAUUUUUUGAAUAAAAACAAACAAUUCUUAUUGUUUCCUUCCUUUCCAUUUAUUUUGUUAUGACAUUACCAUUCGCCAGCGUUGUUAAACUAGAGGCUCUAAAGAGCCUGUGUCGCUCACCUUGGUCUAUGUGAAUAUUAAACAAAGGAAGCAGAUGGAUUCAUGACAAAAUUGUGUUUUGAGAUGGUGAUGUGUUUGUACAUCUUACUUUACUGAACAUUCUUGCUACUUACAAUUAUCUCUAUCUAUAAUGAACUUGGCCCAGUAGUUUCAGUGGAAAAUGUUAGUUAAAAUUUACAAAUUUUAUGAAAAUUGUUAAAAAUUGACUAUAAAGGACAAUAACUCCUUAGGGGUCAAUUGACCAUUUCCGUCAUGUUGACUUAUUUGUAAAUCUUACUUUGCUUAACAUUAUUGAUGUUUACAGUUUAUCUCUAUCUAUAAUAAUAUUCAAGAUAAUAACCAAAAAAGCAAAAUUUCCUUAAAAUUACCAAUUCAGGGGCAACAACCCAACAACAAGUUGUCAGAUUCAUCUGAAAAUUUCAGGGCAGAUAGAUCUUGACCUGAUAAACAAUUUUACCCCGUGUCAGAUUUGCUCUAAAGGCUGCGGUUUCAGAGUUAUAAGCCAAAAUCUACAUUUCACCCUUAUGUUCUAUUUUUAGCCAUGGCGGCCAUCUUGGUUGGUUGGCCAGGUCACGGGACACAAUUUUUAAACUAAAUACCCCAAUGAUGAGUGUGGCCAAGUUUGGUUUAAUUUGACCCAGUAGUUUCAGAGGAGAAGAUUUUUGUAAAAGAUAACUAAGAUUUAUGAAAAAUGGUUAAAAAUUGACUAUAAAGAGCAAUAACUCCUAAAGAAAUCAACAGACCAUUUCGGUCUUGUUGACUUAUUUGUAGAUCUUACUUUGCUGAACAUUUUUGAUGUUUACAGUUUAUCUCUAUCAAUAAUAAAAUUCAAGAUAAUAACCAAAAACAGCAAAAUGUCCUUAAAAUUACCAAUUCAGGGGCAGCAACCUAUCAACGGGUUGUCCAAUUCAUCUCAAAAUUUCAGGGCAGAUAGAUCUUGACCUGAUAAACAAUUUUAUUCCUGUCAGAUUUGCUCUAAAUGCUUUGGUUUUUGAGUGAUAAGCCAAAAACUGCAUUUUACCCCGAUGUUCGAUUUUUAGCCAUGGCAGCCAUCUUGGUUGGUUGGCCAGGUCACCGGACACAACUUUUUAACUAGAUACCCCAAUGAUGAUUGUGGUCAAGUUUGGUUUAAUUUGGCCCAGUAGUUUCAGAGGAGAAGAUUUUUGUAAAAGAUGACUAACAUUUACGAAAAAUGGUUAAAAAUUGACUAUAAAGGGCAAUAACUCCUAAAGGGGUCAACAGACCAUUUUGGUCCUGUUGACUUAUUUGUAGAUCUUUUUUUACUGAACAUUUUUGCUGUUUACAGUUUAUCUCUAUCUAUGAUAAUGUUCAAGAUAAUAUCCAAAAACAGCAAAAUUUCCUUAAAAUUACCAAUUCAGGGGCAGCAACCUAUCAACGGGUUGUCCGAUUCAUCUAAAAAUUUCAGGGCAGAUAGAUCUUGACCUGAUUAACAAUUUUACCCCAUGUCAGAUUUGCUCUAAAUGCUUUGGUUUUUGAGUUAUAAGCCAAAAACUGCAUUUUACCCCUAUGUUCUAUUUUUAGCCAUGGCGGCCAUCUUGGUUGGUUGGCUGGGUCACCGGACACAAUUUUUAAACUAGAUACCCUAAUAAUGAUUGUGGCCAAGUUUGGUAAAAAUUGGCCCAGUAGUUUCAGAGGAGAAGAUUUUUGUAAAAGCUAACGACGACGACGACGACGACGACGGACGACGGACGACGGACGACGGACGACGGACGCCAAGUGAUGAGAAAAGCUCACUUGGCCCUUUUGGGCCAGGUGAGCUAAAAAAUGGACACUACAAACUCAAUCGUAACUAAUCGGCCAUUCUCGCUAUGCAGUACAAUUUCUUCGUGCAACCAGAAAGAUUAGGCCGAGUAGUUCCGAUUGGGUACGAACUGUUUG
rnacentral:lncRNA from 1 species